GCUCAACUAGCUCAGUCAUUGAUCGUGAUACUCUUCAUCUCAUAGUCGUGGGUUCGAGCCCCACGUUGGGCG